ACAAGGAGCUUUAAAAUUUUGGAGUGGUUGUUGUUCAAAGGCAGUAUCUUCUGGCCUCCUCCAAGGGGCUGGCUUCAAGUCUCCAGCUCUGCCCUCUGCAGCACUCUAGGCUCAGGUGUAUCCACUUCACUGAUGCUGCUAUUCUUGGAGAUCAUACCAUGGUACUGGCAUCUCUCACAAGUGGGGUCUUCUGCUGAAAAUAGGCCCCACCAAUAGCCUCUCAUAGGCUCGCUUCAUGACGCCAACCCUCAACUCUUUUGCAUGACCUCUCCAUUACUGAGCUGUCUAUUAAAACUGAGGCUGAACCUUCACCAAUAGCCCCCGAUGCCUGAUCCUGUCACCCAUAACUGCCAUUGUGACACAGUUACACCCCACCGUGUGACUCCUGACCCAAAGACACCCCAACCCUGCCCAAGCUCUGCUCCUCGGCGCCCCAUUCAGCUCACAACCUGAGCGAGGCCUUUUGAUGAUGAUGGGACACAGAGUGAAUUCUGCCUGCUUUUAAACCCGGGGGCCACAAGAGUGAGCCAGAAUUCGUGGUCAUCUAUUCAGCCACCAAAAGAAGGUACAAAAUAUCACAGCACCUGCUGUAAUUCAAACUCAUGACCUUUGGGAGAACAGUUUGUGCCCUUAACCACUAAGGUACCUGUUCUCAGUUUUUACAUUUGAAUUUUUGCCGACGUGGU